rnacentral:snRNA from 1 species
GUACUCACUUUGGCAGUAUCUAUAAUAAAAAUGGAACAAUAACGAGGUGAUUAGCAUUGCUCCUGAGCAAGGAUGACACUCAAAAUCUUGAAGCGCGUUCCAUGUUU